CGUCCCCCGAAGGGCGUUUUGCAUUGGGGGCGGCCGGGCGGGGCGGGGAGGGGAGGGGAGCAGGAGAAGGAGGAGUCUGUUCGGGAGGGGGAGAAGCGGAGGCGGCGGGGGCGAGGCCAAGCGGAGGCGGUGGCGGGGCGUCCAGCGGCGGUCGAAGCGAAGCAUGGCUACCGCCUUCUUCGUCGACGGUUACAAUUCCUCCUCCUCCUCAAGUCGUGGCCGGGGGACAGGGACGAGGACUACUCGCAGUUCUUGUUAUGAGUCCACGAAUAGUUGACGGCCUUGUUGUUCUUCGAUGAACCAGCACACUCCCGUAAACUGGCAGUGACGUUGUACCAAGAACUCUUACAAGCCCUCUACACCUGACUCCAAGGUUUCUGACCGUUUCCGUUCUUCUUCCGGGAAGGUCACUUGUUCCUGUCCAAGUAGUCGUUCUACAAGGAGGCGCCGCUGAGCCAGUAGUAACAAGAUUCCUUGGGCUUUACUCAAUCUGCUGCUGCUGUGGAGCAUGAGGGUCUUAUCAGAGAAACGAUACAUCAGGGACAAUUCAAACAUUAUGACAUAUGAGAUUUUGUCACUCACAAAUUCUCUACUAUAGUUCGGCUCUAAAUCGUCAUAGCUAAUGACCAGGUCACAACAUCAAACCCUACAAGACUCAAAACGGACAGGACAUAGAUUUAACGUGAGCAUCAAAGAUAAGUCUAGUAGUUAUAUAGUCGUCUCCUGUUAAAUUAAAACUCUUUACAAACUAAACGGU
rnacentral:rRNA from 1 species